GGAGAGAUGGCUGAGUGGUCGAAAGCGGCAGAUUGCUAAUCUGUUGUACAAUUUAAAGUUUGUACCGAGGGUUCGAAUCCCUUUCUCUCCU
rnacentral:tRNA from 1 species